rnacentral:rRNA from 1 species
GACGAACGCUGGCGGCGUGCUUAACACAUGCAAGUCGAACGGAAAGGCCCUGCUUGCCGGGUACUCGAGUGGCGAACGGGUGAGUAACACGUGGGUGAUCUGCCCUGCACUUCGGGAUAAGCCUGGGAAACUGGGUCUAAUACCGGAUAGGAGCCAUUUUUAGUGUGAUGGUUGGAAAGUUUUUUCGGUGUAGGAUGAGCUCGCGGCCUAUCAGCUUGUUGGUGGGGUAAUGGCCUACCAAGGCGGCGACGGGUAGCCGGCCUGAGGGGGUGGACGGCCACAUUGGGACUGAGAUACGGCCCAGACUCCGACGGGAGGCAGCAGUGGGGAAGAUUGAACAAUGGGCGCAAGCCUGAUGCAGCGACGCCGCGUGGGGGAUGACGGCCUUCGGGUUGUAAACUCCUUUCGCUAGGGACGAAGCUUUUUGUGACGGUACCUAGAGAAGAAGCACCGGCUAACUACGUG